AUGGCCUCGCUGGCGAUCCCCGACGAGCUACUAGUGGACAUCUUCCUCCGCCUCCCCACCCCAGAAGACCUCAUCCGCGCCUCCGCCGCCUGCGUCUCCUUCCGCCGCCUCGUCGCCGACCGCUCCUUCCUCCGGCGCUUCCGCAAGAUCCACCCCCCGCCCCUCCUCGGCUUCCUCGACUCAGGUCGGCACCUCUUCCACCCCGCCGUGCCGCCUCACCCCUCCGCGCCGGCGGCCAGCGCCGUCGCCCUCGCCGCCGACUUCUCCUUCGCCUUCCUCCCCGCCCCCGCCCGGGACUGGUCCGUGCGGGAAGUCCGCGACGGCCGCGUCCUCCUCGACAGACCCCGCCGCCACGACUCCGUCGAUGGGUUCGGAGCCCUCUUCAAGGAGAUGGUGGUGUGCGACCCCUUGCACCGGCAGUAUCUCCUGCUCCCCCCAAUCCCCGAUGACCUAGCCGCUUCGGUCGUGGACCAACUCCUGGUAGAAGGGCAUUGCUUGGCCGAGACCUUCCUCGUCCCUCCCGGCAACGGCGACGAGGAGGAGGGGACAUCAUUCCGGGUGAUCUGGAUGGGGCUGUUUGAAGCUAAGCUAGUGGCCGCUGUCUUCUCUUCCGGCACAGGGAAAUGGCGAGCCUUUUCAAGCGAGUUGUUGCUGGGCUUCCUGUUAUGGUCGUGGAUGGAUCUCUUCAUGUCGCGCCAUUAUGCACAUGGUUGCUUCUACUGGGUUUCAGGUUCAAUUGAAAAGUUGCUAGUGCUUGACAUUCAGAGGAUGGAGUUCUCCAUGGCCGACCACCCACUCUGUGCCAGACAUUUGGACGAUGAUGUGGCCAUCGUGGAGGCAGGCCAAGGCAUGAUUCGGAUGUUUGUGCCUAAACCCGACACAUCUCGCCUUAAAUAUAACGUUUGGCGAAACAAUGCUGGGAUUUCUACCCAGUGGCAGAUGGAGGAGAGGACGUUCUCGCUGGAUUCUGGGUCCUUGCUCACAGGUGCGGUGGGGAGGCACUUGCUCCUAUAUCAGUGUGGAAGCUCGUCGGUCCAGACAGGUGGUUUCACCCUCGACGUCGACACAUCCCAGGUUGAGAGGGCGCACGCCAUGCUGACGUCCAGGGAGCUGGGGAAUCUGUGCCAGUGCCUGAAGUACAGGAAGCUGGCCCUGGGGGCGCGCAAGGAACUGUCCUCCCAGUGGUCGUUCAAGCUUCAAACCACUUGUUCGCCGUCGUCAACGAUGCCGAGGCGCGUUGUGCUGUGGCGAGGGAAAGGAGGACAGGCACACACCAUGCUGCUGAUGUCCAGGGAGCGGGGAGCGCUGUGCCGGUGCCCCAAGUGGAAGAAGCUGACCCUGGAGGCGUGCAAGGACCUGCCCUUGCAGUGGCCGCUCGAGCUCCAAACCCCUUGCUCGUCGUCGACAGUGAUGCUGAGGAGGGUCGUGGCGGGCAGAGGAGGCGGCGCGCUGGGGCUGGACCUGUGGGGGGUGCAGGGGCUGGUAGCCGAGCUAGAGAGGGCGCGCGAGGAGACAAGGAGCCAGAGUAGCAGUACCAUUGCAUCCACGACGACCAAGGGCGUCAGGGUUGGAUGA
rnacentral:rRNA from 1 species